rnacentral:rRNA from 1 species
GAUGAACGCUGGCGGCGUGCCUAAUACAUGCAAGUCGAGCGAACGGACGAGAAGCUUGCUUCUCUGAUGUUAGCGGCGGACGGGUGAGUAACACGUGGAUAACCUACCUAUAAGACUGGGAUAACUUCGGGAAACCGGAGCUAAUACCGGAUGAUAUUUUGAACCGCAUGGUUCAAAAGUGAAAGACGGUCUUGCUGUCACUGAUAGAUGGAUCCGCGCUGCAUUAGCUAGUUGGUAAGGUAACGGCUUACCAAGGCAACGAUGCAUAGCCGACCUGAGAGGUUGAUCGGCCACACUGGAACUGAGACACGGUCCAGACUCCUACGGGAGGCAGCAGUAGGGAAUCUUCCGCAAUGGGCGAAAGCCUGACGGAGCAACGCCGCGUGAGUGAUGAAGGUCUUCGGAUCGUAAAACUCUGUUAUUAGGGAAGAACAUAUGUGUAAGUAACUGUGCACAUCUUGACGGUACCUAAUCAGAAAGCCACGGCUAACUACGUG